rnacentral:rRNA from 1 species
CAGGCCUAACACAUACAAGUCGAGGGGCAGCAGGGAGUAGCAAUACUCCGCUGGCGACCGGCAGACGGGUGCGUAACGCGUAUGCAACCUGCCCCGUACAGGGGGAUAACCGUUGGAAACGGCGACUAAUACCCCGUAACACGCGUCCUCGCAUGGGGGUGCGUUGAAAGCCUUGGCGGUACGGGAUGGGCAUGCGUGGCAUUAGGUAGUUGGCGGGGCAACGGCCCACCAAGCCAUCGAUGCCUAGGGGAGCUGAGAGGCUAAUCCCCCACACUGGUACUGAGACACGGACCAGACUCCUACGGGAGGCAGCAGUGAGGAAUAUUGGUCAAUGGAGGGAACUCUGAACCAGCCAUGCCGCGUGAGGGAAGAAGGCCCUACGGGUUGUAAACCUCUUUUAGCCGGGGGUAAUAAGCGUCGUGCGCGGCGCGAUGAAAGUACCGGCGGAAUAAGCAUCGGCUAACUCCGUGCCAGCAGCCGCGGUAAUACGGAGGAUGCGAGCGUUAUCCGGAUUUAUUGGGUUUAAAGGGUGCGCAGGCUGUGCAGUAAGUCAGCGGUGAAAGACCACGGCUCAACCGUGGGGCUGCCGUUGAUACUGCUGCGCUGGAGUACGAGCGGCGCCGGCGGAAUGUGUCAUGUAGCGGUGAAAUGCAUAGAGAUGACACAUAACACCCGAUCGCGAAAGG